UCAGAUUGCAAAUACAUGGAUGGAUGAAUUGAGGUUCUGUUUUACUGAUUUUGGUAAUAUUAAUAAUAGGUACUGUCAUUUACUUAUUUGAAUAUCUUCAAAGGACAAUUAUAAAUAUAAUUUAUAUUUAUAAAGUAAGAGAGAUGAUAAUAGUUACUAGUCAUUUUGUCAAAAUAAAUUUAAAAAUUCAAAACUCAAAAGUAGUAUGGAAAAACUGAGAACCCGAGAGAAUGAUCAGCCACAUUGGGACUGAGACACGGCCUAGACUCCUAUAGGAGGCAGUAGUGGGGAAUUUUUUGCAAUGGGCGAAAGCCUGAUAGAGCAAUGCCGCAUGGACGUAGAAGGUCCAUGGGUCAUGAACUUCUUUUCUUGGAGAAGAAACAAUGACGGGUAUCUAGAAAAUAAGCAUCGGUUUACUCUAUGCCUGCAGAAUUGAAUUGAAUUAUUAUGUAUGAUUCA
rnacentral:ncRNA from 1 species